GUGGGGAAUAUUGGACAAUGGGCGAAAGCUUGAUCCAGCCAUGCCGCGUGUGUGAAGAAGGUCUUCGGAUUGUAAAGCACUUUAAGUUGGGAGGAAGGGCAGUAAGUUAAUACCUUGCUGUUUUGACGUUACCGACAGAAUAAGCACCGGCUAACUUCGUGCCAGCAGCCGCGGUAAUACGAAGGGUGCAAGCGUUAAUCGGAAUUACUGGGCGUAAAGCGCGCGUAGGUGGUUUUGUAAGUUGGAGGUGAAAUCCCCGGGCUCAACCUGGGAACUGCCUCCAAAACUGCAUGACUAGAGUACGGUAGAGGGUAGUGGAAUUUCCUGUGUAGCGGUGAAAUGCGUAGAUAUAGGAAGGAACACCAGUGGCGAAGGCGACUACCUGGACUGAUACUGACACUGAGGUGCGAAAGCGUGGGGAGCAAACAGGAUUAGAAACCUUAGUAGUCC
rnacentral:rRNA from 1 species